rnacentral:rRNA from 1 species
UACCAGUUGCUUUUGUUUGAGCGAUGGAGGGACGCAGGAGGCUAAGGAAUGCACACGAUCGGAAAUGUGUGUCCAAGCAGCAAGUCUGAGAACGAGUGAAAUGCUUUUUCUCUCAAGGACAAGCUGUGAUGGGGAGCGAAAUUUAGUAGCGAAGUUCCUGAUGUCACACUGCCAAGAAAAGCUUCUAGUGAGAAAGUAACUGCCCGUACCGCAAACCGACACAGGUAGUUGAGGAGAGAAUCCUAAGGUGUGCGAGAGAACUCUCGUUAAGGAACUCGGCAAAAUGACCCCGUAACUUCGGGAGAAGGGGUGCUGACCGCAAGGUCAGCCGCAGUGAAUAGGCCCAAGCGACUGUUUAUCAAAAACACAGGUCUCUGCAAAAUCGAAAGAUGACGUAUAGGGGCUGACGCCUGCCCGGUGCUGGAAGGUUAAGAGGAAAGGUUAGCGCAAGCGAAGCUUUGAAUUGAAGCCCCAGUAAACGGCGGCCGUAACUAUAACGGUCCUAAGGUAGCGAAAUUCCUUGUCGGGUAAGUUCCGACCCGCACGAAAGGCGUAACGAUUUGGGCACUGUCUCAACGAGAGACUCGGUGAAAUUAUAGUACCAGUGAAGAUGCUGGUUACCCGCGACAGGACGGAAAGACCCCAUGGAGCUUUACUGCAGUUUGAUAUUGCGUGUUUGUAUCACAUGUACAGGAUAGGUAGGAGCCGAAGAUACCGGGACGCCAGUCUCGGAGGAGGCAACGGUGGGAUACUACCCUUGUGAUAUGACCACUCUAACCCGCUGCUCUUAGCGAGCAGGGAGACAGUGUCAGACGGGCAGUUUGACUGGGGCGGUCGCCUCCAAAAAUGUAACGGAGGCGCCCAAAGGUUCCCUCAGAAUGGUUGGAAAUCAUUCGUAGAGUGUAAAGGCAGAAGGGAGCUUGACUGCGAGACCUACAAGUCGAGCAGGGACGAAAGUCGGGCUUAGUGAUCCGGUGGUUCCGCAUGGAAGGGCCAUCGCUCAACGGAUAAAAGCUACCCUGGGGAUAACAGGCUUAUCUCCCCCAAGAGUUCACAUCGACGGGGAGGUUUGGCACCUCGAUGUCGGCUCAUCGCAUCCUGGGGCUGUAGUCGGUCCAAGGGUUGGGCUGUUCGCCCAUUAAAGCGGUACGCGAUCUGGGUUCAGAACGUCGUGAGACAGUUCGGUCCCUAUCCGUCGCGGGCGUUGGAAAUUUGAGAGGAGCUGUCCUUAGUACGAGAGGACCGGGAUGGACACACCGCUGGUGUACCAGUUGUUCUGCCAAGAGCAUCGCUGGGUAGCUAUGUGUGGACGGGAUAAACGCUGAAAGCAUCUAAGCGUGAAGCCCCCCUCAAGAUGAGAUUUCCCAUCACUUUAAGUGAGUAAGACCCCUGAGAGAUGAUCAGGUAGAUAGGUUGGGAGUGGAAGUACAGCGAUGUAUGGAGCGGACCAAUACUAAUCGGUCGAGGACUUAACC